rnacentral:RNase_P_RNA from 1 species
GAAGCGCGCCAGACCGCCGCUGGUGCGAUCUGGGAAACCAGGCACUGGAGGAACGUCCGGACUGCACAGGACGGCGUAGCAGCUAACGGCUGCCCACCGCGAGGUGAGGAUCAGAGCAACAGAGACGAGUCCGGCGGGAGUGCCGCAAGGCAGACCAGCCGGGGUGAAACGGGCAAUCUCUACGCGCAGCAAUACCAAGUAGGCCAGCGUUGACGUGGUUCCGCGGAGCUGGCGGGUAGGUAGCAUCGAGCCGGGUGGGCGACCCCUGGCCCAGAGUAAUGGCGGUCACAUGCGGGCAACCGCAUGCACAGAAUCCGGCUUAUCGGCGCGCUUCACAC